rnacentral:rRNA from 1 species
GGUGACCUCGGAUCAGGUAGCUGCCGUCGUAA